CUCCCUGGGGGGGGGCAGUAGGCACCUCGUAGUCUCCUCUCUGCCGAGCCUCGUGCUGGGGGACUUAACUUCUCAAUGUUCUAGGCAACUUUCUAAGACUAUAAUUCAUAGAGAAGACAACUCUCUGCUGCUCAGAGGAAAUUUAUUCACCUGGGGGAAUUUCCUGUCUAUAUAUCUUAAGAACCAUCAGGAGCCAGAAGCCACAGGACAACUGGAGAUGGCCCUGGAUGCAGUGGGAGACCUCGGGCUUGUUAAGCUAAGGUCUUCAACAGGUCUCAGUGAGACAGAGGGAACUGCUCAAUCAGUGAUUAAUGACUGAACUGACCACCCUGGUGGCAGGACGCAACCCAAUUUAUGGAUGAGGAAUCCAUCAGUGUUGGACUCCUACUACACAUAGGCUGCCAUAUGUGUGGGCCUCCUGGCUGAAGAAAAAUGCAAGUGCUGCUACUCUCAAAGUGUUCUAGACCUUCAUCAGAGCAACUCUGCAUGUGCUUCAUUAAUUAGCACCAGAGUAAUUGGCUUGAGUUACUUGCUUCUGCUAAACUCUACUUUAACAGUUGCAGUUAUGCUCAGAACACACUGGAUGGAUGGGUUAUUUUUUUUUCCAGCCCCAAAGAAUCUUCACCCUUGGUUCUGCCCAUUUCUCAAGGUCUGGCAGGCAAGAGGAGUUGAAUAUUACCCAGAGGGACUUGCAAACUACCUUAGAGACCACCAUAGCUCAAUCUAAAGCACACAAUUGCCUACCACUGUACACCAGUCAUAGGGCAGGUCUGGAUCUCAACCAGAAACUUGCAUGGUAGCUCAGACUGGAAGAAUGGAAUUGCCCAGCACUGCAAGGAGAGAGUCCAAUAGACUUCCAUUGAAAUUCCUUUUUUUUUCUUUGUCUGCUGGAUGCUUUUCUCAAUUUUUGUUCACCCAUAGCAUUAAUGACUGAAGAAUGUUAUAAAGUUAUAUAUAUGUAUAUCUUAUUGACAAAUAUAUACUAUAUUCCACAUGUCACUAAAUGUGGCAAAAGGUGCAUUGAAAGGCAGAGCAGGAGGCUACCUAGGCAAGAGGAGAGAAGCAAGGAUCUCAGGUCUUCUCUAGAAAAGAAAACCUGAGCCAAGAAUGAGAGAUAUUCCUAAGGGAUCUGGGAAGACUAAAGUCCUCUCCUUCUCCCCUUGUCCCCACACUAAAGGGCUAAAGGUUUCUGGAGAUAGUAGAGGCUGAGCAGAAGAUGAGGGAGGUAAGAAGACUUUAUGGUGAUCAGGUGAUACAGGAGCAGCAACACAGAGAGGAGUAUGGGCCUUCCGGAGGUGGUGACAUGGUAGAAACUGAAGGCCCUAACUGAUCCAGUCACGGAACUGAGCACCUCAAGCAAAAAUGGUGAAUGCUUGUUCCUUCCAGAGUCUCUUUAAAUGGUCACCAUGUCUACCUGGAUUUCGUGUCUCCUGAAAUUCCCGACAAGGGAACUCCCAGAAUCUUUCUAGAGAAAGAGAGAAGAAUUGUAAGUGGGAACUAUGGUGGGUGACCAGUUAAGACAUAGCAAACCUCAGUGAACAACUCUCAGAAGGUGGAUAGGAUCUGGAAGAAAUUUUUUAUGAUUUCAGCUGGGAAGGAAAUGAACAUUUACUGUCCAACCCUCCAUCAUAUUCUUGCCAGACAUACCUUUAUGUGUCAAGAGAAACAUUUACACUCUUCCAUUAGACCAUGAGCUCUUUGAGACCAGGGAGUGGAGAAGGGGGUGUUUUCCUCUAUUUUAUUUGUA